UGGGGAAUAUUGGACAAUGGGCGAAAGCCUGAUCCAGCCAUGCCGCGUGUGUGAAGAAGGUCUUCGGAUUGUAAAGCACUUUAAGUUGGGAGGAAGGGCAUUAACCUAAUACGUUAGUGUUUUGACGUUACCGACAGAAUAAGCACCGACUAACUCUGUGCCAGCAGCCGCGGUAAUACAGAGGGUGCAAGCGUUAAUCGGAAUUACUGGGCGUAAAGCGCGCGUAGGUGGUUUGUUAAGUUGGAUGUGAAAUCCCCGGGCUCAACCUGGGAACUGCAUUCAAAACUGACUGACUAGAGUAUGGUAGAGGGUGGUGGAAUUUCCUGUGUAGCGGUGAAAUGCGUAGAUAUAGGAAGGAACACCAGUGGCGAAGGCGACCACCUGGACUAAUACUGACACUGAGGUGCGAAAGCGUGGGGAGCAAACA
rnacentral:rRNA from 1 species